UGGGGAAUAUUGCACAAUGGGCGAAAGCCUGAUGCAGCGACGCCGCGUGAGGGAUGACGGCCUUCGGGUUGUAAACCUCUUUCAGUAGGGACGAAGCGCAAGUGACGGUACCUGCAGAAGAAGCACCGGCUAACUACGUGCCAGCAGCCGCGGUAAUACGUAGGGUGCGAGCGUUGUCCGGAAUUACUGGGCGUAAAGAGCUCGUAGGCGGUUUGUCACGUCGUCUGUGAAAUCCUAGGGCUUAACCCUGGACGUGCAGGCGAUACGGGCUGACUUGAGUACUACAGGGGGGACUGGAAUUUCUGGUGUAGCGGUGGAAUGCACAGAUAGCAGGAAGAACACCGAUGGGGAAGGCAGGUCUCUGGGUAGUAACUGACGCUGAGGAGCGAAAGCAUGGGUAGCGAACAGG
rnacentral:rRNA from 1 species